AACGAACGCUGGCGGCAUGCCUAACACAUGCAAGCCGAACGAGACCUUCGGGUCUAGUGGCGCACGGGUGCGUAACGCGUGGGAAUCUGCCCUUGGGUUCAGAAUAACUCGCCGGAAGGCGUGCUAAUACCGGAUGAUGUCGUAAGACCAAAGAUUUAUCGCCCAGGGAUGAGCCCGCGUAAGAUUAGGUAGUUGGAGAGGUAAAGGCUCACCAAGCCGACGAUCUUUAGCUGGUCUGAGAGGAUGAUCAGCCACACUGGGACUGAGACACUGCCCAG
rnacentral:rRNA from 1 species